rnacentral:rRNA from 2 species
UAACGAGGAACAAUUGGAGGGCAAGUCUGGUGCCAGCAGCCGCGGUAAUUCCAGCUCCAAUAGCGUAUAUUAAAGUUGUUGCAGUUAAAAAGCUCGUAGUUGAACUUCAGACCUGGCCGGGCGGUCUGCCUAACGGUAUGUACUGUCUGGCCGGGCCUUACCUCUUGGUGAGCCGGCAUGCCCUUUACUGGGUGUGUCGGGGAACCAGGACUUUUACCUUGAGAAAAUUAGAGUGUUCAAAGCAGGCCUAUGCCCGAAUACAUUAGCAUGGAAUAAUAAAAUAGGACGUGCGGUUCUAUUUUGUUGGUUUCUAGAGUCGCCGUAAUGAUUAAUAGGGAUAGUUGGGGGCAUUAGUAUUCAGUUGCUAGAGGUGAAAUUCUUGGAUUUACUGAAGACUAACUUCUGCGAAAGCAUUUGCCAAGGAUGUUUUCAUUAAUCAAGAACGAAGGUUAGGGGAUCGAAAACGAUCAGAUACCGUUGUAGUCUUAACAGUAAACUAUGCCGACUAGGGAUCGGGCGAUCUCAAUUUUAUGUGUCGCUCGGCACCUUACGAGAAAUCAAAGUCUUUGGGUUC